rnacentral:tRNA from 1 species
UCCCUGAUGAUCUAGUGGCUAAGACUCCAUUCUCCCAGUGUAGGGACCCUGGUUCGAACCCUGGUCAGGGAA